GAUGAACGCUGGCGGCGUGCCUAAUAUAUGCAAGUCGAGCGAAAAGACGAGGCGCUUGCUCCUCUGACGUUCCCUGCGAACGGGUGCGUAACACGUGAACACCCUACAUAAUCCACUGGGACAACUUCGGGAAUCCUAGACUCUUACCGGGUAAUAUAAUCAACCGCAUGGUUUCAUAGUCAACGACGGUCUUGCUGAUACUGAUAGAUGGAUCCGGGCUGCAUUGGCUAGUUGUCAAGGUAACGGCUUAUCAAGGCGACGAUGCGUAGCCGACCUAAGAGAGUGAUCGACCACACUGGAACUGAUACACGGUCCAGACUCCUACGGGAGGCAGCAGUAGGGAAUCUUCCGCGAUGGGCGAAAGCCUGACGGAGCAACGCGACGUGAGUGAUGAAGGUCUUCGGAUCGGAAAACUCUGUUAUUAGUGAAGAACAAAUGUGUAAGGAACUAUGCACGUCUUGACGGUACCUAAACAGAAAGCCACGGCUAACUACGUG
rnacentral:rRNA from 1 species